UGGCUCAGGACGAACGCUGGCGGCAUGCCUAACACAUGCAAGUCGAACGGGGGUAGCAAUACCCUAGUGGCGAACGGGUGAGUAACACGUGAGCAACCUGCCCUUUACAACGGGAUACCACUAAGAAAUUAGUGCUAAUACGGUAUAUGACCACACCGAGGCAUCUCGGAGGGGUGAAAGCGAAAGCGGUAAAGGAUGGGCUCGCGUCCAAUUAGCUAGUUGGUGAGAUAACAGCCCACCAAGGCGACGAUUGGUAGCCGACUUGAGAGAGUGAUCGGCCACACUGGAACUGAGACACGGUCCAGACUCCUACGGGAGGCAGCAGUGGGGAAUAUUGGGCAAUGGAGGAAACUCUUACCCAGCAAAUGCCGCGUGAGUGAAUGAAGGUCUUCGGAUUGUAAAGCUCUUUGAUCGGGGACGAAUAAAUGACGGUACCCGAGGAACAAGCCCCGGCUAACUAUGUGCCAGCAGCAGC
rnacentral:rRNA from 1 species